UGUUCUAAAUUUCUGCGUGAUACAUCCUCACGCUGAGAAUCCUGCAAACAGAUAGUUUAAGGUGUAGAAAUGUAAGUGGCCAGAUCUCCGCGAGCGCGAGGAGAUUCGACGAAUUUAUACGGUCGUAAAACCUCGGGUACUAGAUCGCGUGACUACAACGUGGAGGUAGGACAGAUCGAUCGGAGUUGGGUUGGAAAGUAAGAAAGCGAGACCGGAAACGUAAUGAAGAAGCGUCGACUAAUUAACACACCUAGUGUCAAGAUACCUUUGUAGCCUAGUGAUUACUAAGCCUCGACUACAAAUCCGACGGAGCCAGAUCUAUGGAGGGAGAAGAGACAUUCACCGUACUGUCGUUCGUUUAAACGAACAACUGCUAAAUUUAGAUAAUCAAAUCGUGAACACGAAACUCGUCGAUACGAUAAUACGUUAAAACGUUUGACAAAAUUGCGACAUCUUUAUGGUAAGGAGUUCCGUGUGACACUACGUGCGGAGAGAAUGUACGAGGAGACAUAAAGUUUUACGGUGUUUCAAUAUCCAAGAGCGUUAUCAUACGGCAGUGCAUUAUCAUAUGAUCCUGGCGAGAGAUGCUUCUACGUUCAGCGGAGUUGACAAUGGAGAGGUGUAUUCUAUCCUAUAGCUGAUUUCGAGACGAUACGACGGGAUCAGCGCAAACAACGUUUUCCAACAAAUUUCGACAACCCCAACGGCGGAGCGGAUUAAAGCCGGGAAUAACGAAGGGAAGUCUCCUAGAGGAACAUUUAAAAUUAAGAAAAUGUAAUACACAGUGGAGGUGAGAUUAGAGGGAAGGAUAAAAUUAAUGUUUCCCCGUUAGCUCUGCGUAAAAACAAAACAAAAAAAAUCAGCUGUAACGCGCCGAAUGAAAAGAGACACAAGAAAUGGACAAUGCGGUUUCAAAGUCCUCUUCGGCGUAUCUCAUAAAUCUUAUUUAUCUCCCGAACCCGACAGUAAAAAAUGUGUUCAGUCCAGGACCGCUCGUGCAUACUGACUGUUUCCCCUCGUGCCUGUCCUAAAUUUAAUCUCCGGGGAAGCCACUUCAUCCUCAACGUUCGAAUUUGUCGCGGGACUAAUCACAGCGAGAAAAAAUAACGAGACAAUCGUGUUAUUAUAAUAUUGUCACUCGCGUGUUAUCGCGUUGUCACGACAGCGUUGGCGACAACAACGGUCGCAUAACUCAAUCCUGACGCGCUGAAAUUGCCUGGUUAGGCCGCUCUGCGAAGAGCCAACCGUCAACCAACGUUUCUAGUCUUUCAUUUUCAGCUUUCAGAGGUGGAGAGAUUCAGGGCAGAAAGAGGAUGAAAGAUAAAGCGGCGAGCGGUUGUGUUCCCUUGAAUAUGCAACGAAAUAAUAUAUCGCCAGUCCGAUAUCCAAUACAUCUCCAACAAUGAGUUCCCUUUCGAAUUAUCGCGCUUUUGUUUCCCCGCUAUUCGGUAUUUUCUGUUCUCUUCAACUCUUUCUCGCCCAUCACCCGCAAUUUCGGCACGAAAUCGCAACGAGGAACUCGCGGAGCGUUAAGGGAUUGUGGAUGUGUUAUUUCGACGCACAAAUUCACACACACGCACGCGCGCGCGCACAAUUACGGUAUUAUCUUAUUAAAAGAAUAUUGAGUGAGCGACACUUAUACAGAUAACGGAGAAUUCAUCGGAAACGAAAAGUAGGACACGUACAUAUACACACAUCCCUCACGGGUGGAAAACUUGUUAAUGGAAAUUUUUAAUUAUUGAAUAGCUAAAAUGUAUUUACCGCAGCGAUUGAAGUUAAUUACGAAGUGCAUUUAUUCUGAAGCGCUGCCGCAUUAAGAGAUCGAUAUAUUCGCACCUUGAAAAAACAAAUUAUAGAAUUAACGAAAUAAACAAGUGUGCGUAUAUGAAAUUGGAGCAAUUCGCGCAUCAUAUAGCUCUCUAAAUAAUCCGUUCUGUUAAAAUUUCAUUCGUGAAAAACUGAAAUUUAUAUGAUAUGACCACAUCUCAAAACAAGAUGCACCUUCAUAGCAAUGCGAUAGCAAUGCAACUGCAGAAUGCGCGCAAGGUCAAUGAGACUGACGUGCGAUGAAAGAGGCAAAGGCAGAAACGAAUCGAAAAACAUGAAAGAGGAACAGACGCGCGUCACGACAAUACGAGAAAGCUUGUAAGGGGAUAAGAAGGCUCAACUGCCUUAAAAGACGAUUCUAAGAUACGAGCUAGAGAAAAUAAGAAGAGAGGAAAAGAGAGUGAAAGAGGCAAGAGUAAAAUGGAAAUGAACGAGAUAGAAGAAAGAACAAAGUAAGGCAUAGGCUGAUAACAAAAGAUGCAUUGUUUGAGACAAGGAAGUCGCAAUGGAAGACUCGUCUAAAUUGUUAAAAUCCGCGAGAAGCCAGGUUCUUUGGAUCAUUUUCCGAAUUCUAUCACUCGUUAGCUGACGUUUGUUUUCAUUUCUCAUGCGUGCUUUAAGUUCAUACCAAUGAGAAGAACAGAGGUAGUGACCGCGUUGCGGGGAGAAAUGGCGUGCGCCAAUAGUUCCAGCAGAUCGGUACACGUUGAGCUGGUGCUCGCGAGGUAUCCCGGUGCAACUACAUUUGUAAAUUGACUGACACAAGUUAUAUAAGAAAAAAAGAAGAAGAAGAAGAAGAAGAAGAAGAAGAAGAAGAAAAAGAAGAAGAAGAAGAAGAAAGGAAAAGUAUUAUUGGCAAAGACAAGGAGUCACGUGAGGGCAGUUGAUGUACUAAAAUUCGUCCGACGGCAAUGUUAGAUCAUAAUGUAGUGACAGGAAGUACGGCGAAGGGUUUAAUGAACGAUCUCGUAAUCACGGACGUGCGUAGCAAGUAGUGCCAGCAAUGUACUGUCUGAGAACCCAUGUCAGUUAAUUAACCUCAACGGAAGCCUAUUCUUCACGUCGACGGUUUAAUUAAACAACGGUUAUCUGGCGAAUUAAGAUAAUACCGCGUAUUUGUAAUCGAAGACGGAAGAGACGUGCCAUUUAACAGAACGCAGCGAUAAAUCACACAAAAAUAUAUGUAAUAGCUGUUAUAUAUCUCCCCUUGUUAGAUAUAACGAAAUAUAAUAUCGUAAUAAGUGAUACACUUAAGUAUAAAAAAACGUUUCAUGAAUUCAGUAGUGCCUAUAAACAUUUCGACCGAGACAUUUAUAGGCCUUUUAAAAUGGGCGUAGGUGUUAAUCCGGAGAAAGGCAGAAAAGUUGCAAAAGAUCUUUAACGUGAUAACAUAGAGCCAGUUUUAUGGGACGGUAAAACUUGGAAUUCCGAGUUUAAA